AUAGUAGUUGUCGAGGGUGCAACAAGCACGUCCGGUGAACAGGUCAGGGUUCCAUAGCCGCAGGCAGAACAGUUGAAACUGGAGCAGCAGCACGGCCAGGUGGACUGGGGACAGCAAGGAGUCAUCAUGCCAGGUAGUCCUGAGGCAUGGUCCUAGGGCUCAGGUCCUCCGAGAGAAAGACAGAAAGAGAGAAUUAGAGAGAGCAUAUUUAAAUUCACACAGGACACCGGAUAAGACAAGAGAAAUACUCCAGAUGUAACAGACUGACCCUAGCCCCCCGACACAUAAACUACUGCAGCAUAAAUACGGG
rnacentral:lncRNA from 1 species